CCUACGGGUGGCAGCAGUGAGGAAUAUUGGUCAAUGGACGAGAGUCUGAACCAGCCAAGUAGCGUGAAGGAUGACUGCCCUAUGGGUUGUAAACUUCUUUUAUAUGGGAAUAAAAUGUUCCACGUGUGGGAUUUUGUAUGUACCAUAUGAAUAAGGAUCGGCUAACUCCGUGCCAGCAGCCGCGGUAAUAUGGAGGAUCCGAGCGUUAUCCGGAUUUAUUGGGUUUAAAGGGAGCGUAGGUGGAUUGUUAAGUCAGUUGUGAAAGUUUGCGGCUCAACCGUAAAAUUGCAGUUGAAACUAGCAGUCUUGAGUACAGUAGAGGUGGGCGGAAUUCGUGGUGUAGCGGUGAAAUGCUUAGAUAUCACGAAGAACUCCGAUUGCGAAGGCAGUUCACUGGACUGCAACUGACACUGAGGCUCGAAAGUGUGGGUAUCAAACAGGAUUAGAUACCCCUGUAGUC
rnacentral:rRNA from 1 species